rnacentral:rRNA from 1 species
CCGCCACACUGGGACUGAGACACGGCCCAGACUCCUACGGGAGGCAGCAGUGGGGAAUAUUGGACAAUGGGCGGAAGCCUGAUCCAGCCAUGCCGCGUGUGUGAAGAAGGCCUUUUGGUUGUAAAGCACUUUAAGCGAGGAGGAGGCUACUAGUACUAAUACUACUGGAUAGUGGACGUUACUCGCAGAAUAAGCACCGGCUAACUCUGUGCCAGCAGCCGCGGUAAUACAGAGGGUGCGAGCGUUAAUCGGAUUUACU